rnacentral:rRNA from 4 species
GGUUAAGCGACUAAGCGUACACGGUGGAUGCCCUGGCAGUCAGAGGCGAUGAAGGGCGUGCUAAUCUGCGAUAAGCGCCGGUAAGGUGAUAUGAACCGUUAUAACCGGCGAUACCCGAAUGGGGAAACCCAGUGUGACUCGUCACACUAUCAUUAACUGAAUCCAUAGGUUAAUGAGGCGAACCGGGGGAACUGAAACAUCUAAGUACCCCGAGGAAAAGAAAUCAACCGAGAUUCCCCCAGUAGCGGCGAGCGAACGGGGAGGAGCCCAGAGCCUGAAUCAGCAUGUGUGUUAGUGGAAGCGUCUGGAAAGGCGCGCGAUACAGGGUGACAGCCCCGUACACAAAAGCGC